rnacentral:rRNA from 1 species
GGGGUGCAACACGAGGACUUCCCAGGAGGUCACCCAUCCUAGUACUACUCUCGCCCAAGCACGCUUCACUGCGGAGUUCUGAUGGGAUCUGGUGCAUUAGUGCUGGUAUGAUCACACCC